AGAGUUUGAUCAUGGCUCAGAAUGAACGCUGGCGGCGCGCCUAAUACAUGCAAGUCGAGCGAGAAGACGUAGCAAUACGUUUGUAAAGCGGCGAACGGGUGAGGAAUACAUGGGUAACCUACCCUCGAGUGGGGAAUAACUAGCCGAAAAGGUUAGCUAAUACCGCGUACGCUUCUUGGACUUCGGUUCAGGGAGGAAAGCGAUACCGUGGGUAUCGCGCUCUUGGAUGGGCUCAUGUCCUAUCAGCUUGUUGGUGAGGUAACGGCUCACCAAGGCUUCGACGGGUAGCUGGUCUGAGAGGACGAUCAGCCACACUGGCACUGCGACACGGGCCAGACUCCUACGGGAGGCAGCAGUAAGGAAUAUUGCGCAAUGGGCGAAAGCCUGACGCAGCGACGCCGCGUGGGGGAUGAAGGUCUUCGGAUUGUAAACCCCUUUCGGGAGGGAAGAUGGAAUGGGGUAACCCAUUCGGACGGUACCUCCAGAAGCAGCCACGGCUAACUUCGUGCCAGCAGCCGCGGUAAUACGAAGGUGGCAAGCGUUAUUCGGAUUUACUGGGCGUACAGGGAGCGUAGGCGGUUCGGUAAGCCCUCUGUGAAAUCUUCAGGCUUAACCUGGAAAAGUCGGAGGGGACUGCCGGGCUAGAGGACGGGAGAGGAGCGCGGAAUUCCCGGUGUAGCGGUGAAAUGCGUAGAGAUCGGGAGGAAGGCCGGUGGCGAAGCGGCGCUCUGGAACGUUUCUGACGCUGAGGCUCGAAAGCGUGGGGAGCAAACAGGAUUAGAUACCCUAGUAGUCC
rnacentral:rRNA from 1 species